UACGGGGGGGCAAGCGUUGUUCGGAAUUACUGGGCGUAAAGGGCUCGUAGGUGGCCAACUAAGUCAGACGUGAAAUCCCUCAGCUUAACUGGGGAACUGCGUCUGAUACUGGAUGGCUUGAGUUUGGGAGAGGGAUGCGGGAAUUCCAGGUGUAGCGGUGAAAUGACGUAGAUAUCGGAAGGAACAUCAGUGGCGAAAGCGGCUUCCAUGGGACCAGCACCCGACGGUCAGGCCACGAAAGCGUGGGGAGUAAACAGG
rnacentral:rRNA from 1 species